GUGGGGAAUAUUGGACAAUGGGCGCAAGCCUGAUCCAGCCAUACCGCGUGGGUGAAGAAGGCCUUCGGGUUGUAAAGCCCUUUUGUUGGGAAAGAAAUCCAGCUGGCUAAUACCCGGUUGGGAUGACGGUACCCAAAGAAUAAGCACCGGCUAACUUCGUGCCAGCAGCCGCGGUAAUACGAAGGGUGCAAGCGUUACUCGGAAUUACUGGGCGUAAAGCGUGCGUAGGUGGUCGUUUAAGUCCGUUGUGAAAGCCCUGGGCUCAACCUGGGAACUGCAGUGGAUACUGGGCGACUAGAAUGUGGUAGAGGGUAGCGGAAUUCCUGGUGUAGCAGUGAAAUGCGUAGAGAUCAGGAGGAACAUCCAUGGCGAAGGCAGCUACCUGGACCAACAUUGACACUGAGGCACGAAAGCGUGGGGAGCAAACAGG
rnacentral:rRNA from 1 species